CAGAACAUUUAAACACCAAAU
rnacentral:piRNA from 1 species